rnacentral:rRNA from 1 species
AUUCCAGCUCCAAUAGCGUAUAUUAAAGUUGUUGCAGUUAAAAAGCUCGUAGUUGAAUUUCGGGGUUAGUAGGUUGGUCAUGCCUCUGGUAUGUACUGGUCUCACUGAUUCCUCCUUCCUGAUGANCCGUAAUGCCAUUAAUUUGGUGUUGCGGGGAAUUUGGACUGUUACUUUGAAAAAAUUAGAGUGUUUAAAGCAAGCUAACGCUUGAAUACAUUAGCAUGGAAUAAUGAAAUAGGACGUUCGAUCCUAUUUUGUUGGUUUCUAGGAUUGACGUAAUGAUUAAUAGGGAUAGUUGGGGGCAUUAGUAUUCAAUUGUCAGAGGUGAAAUUCUUGGAUUUAUUGAAGACUAACUACUGCGAAAGCAUUUGCCAAGGAUGUUUUCAUUAAUCAAGAACGAAAGUUAGGGGAUCGAAGACGAUCAGAUACCGUCGUAGUCUUAACCAUAAACUAUGCCGACUAGGGAUCGGAUGAUGUUAAUUUUUUA